UCCGUUUUGUUAACGGGCAAAACUAUUAUGCUGAUUUUAAGUGGUGUUCUAAUUAACGGUGAAUUUGUUACGGAAGAUUUGAAUUAUGAAUUAUGGAACAGCUAACAAAAAAUGGAAACACUUUGUGAAAUAUCCAAUGAAAAACAUAUUAAGAUCUAUCAAGAUGGGGGACCUUUUAUUUUAAAACAAAGAAUUGAAUCACACAAAGAGUAGAAUAUUGUUUUUUGUUGCUGAGUGAAGGUGAAGCAGUGAAAAGAAGUUCAAAUGGACUACAUUGAAUUGAAAAUUGUCCGAAGUGCAUAAUCUGCCAGGGUGUUUAAAAAUGAGGAACUAUCAACGUACAAGUUGUAUUUUCACGGCGAGAUUUACUAUUGCCUUGAAUUUCGUUUUCGAGGUUUUCGAUUGGAGAGUUUACUGGUGGAACAUCGACGAAAAUCAAUCCAGCCAAAAGCCCAUUUGCACGGAAGCUGUUGUUGGCGUUCUCCUUAAAAAAAAACAGUGCAACGUUAUCAUCAGUAUCUAAUAUUGGAACGAUUGGAACAUUCCCAAACAAGAUGGAUGCGAUGAGCCUGAACAUCGAUGACAUCAAAAAGAAAACCAUCAGAAAGCGACUGGAACUGACUGGUGGUGGUCGGUGGAAAGAAAGCUACCUACAAUCAAAGUGGGCCGCAAAGCAAACCCAGAUCCGGAGUAAUUGCAAGGAAGUAUACCCGCGAUGGUCCCAAUGGUUGAUAUUGCGAGGAACUGUGGUAAUGCCCGGCUGCGGUUGCUCAAACGAAAGGGAAAGAUUCCGCCGAGGAAUGGCAUUCUGAAGAAAGAACCAGCAGCAAGAAUUCCAGGGGAAAAGUUUACCAUGAUGAAAUGGAUGUGUACUACAAUUUGGAUAUGCGUCGCCUUAUAUGAGACCAAUGAAGCGAACCAUUCAAAAUGAAAUGUUUACAGUACCCAGUACAAUGUCAUCGUUGCCGACGUUCGGCCGUGAUAUUCGCAAUUGGACACAUCAGACAUUAUCGUGAAACAGUGAUCCGUUCGAUUGUUAUGGAUUGCAUAAUAGCCAUCCGGCCUUGCCGACAAUGUUCCACGGAACAACGACAUUCCACCAAGACGUGAAAUAACGCGGGUUCGGUCUUCUUUCCGGACCCGAUGUACGCUGAAGACCGACUCCAUCUUUCGUCUACGAUGCGAGCCCGGCUGGAACGGGCACCAAGUCCUUCGCCAAAACCUAACGAAUCGAUGGGAACCUUCGCAGAAAUAGCACCACCAUAUCAAUUAAAUUUCAGUAUCAGUAUAUUCAAUAAUUUAUAAUUUAUUAAACUGAGAUCCACUACACUUUAAUAUUGCGUUUGUUUAGUUUUCUUGUUUUCUUCUGUUUCCGUAUUUAUUAUUGCUUCUCAUUUCACAUAUUUGUCAUCAUUUUAUUAAAAAAAUAGUAUUGGUAAUUAAAGGUUAAACAUGGAACAAGUAAAUGUAAGGAAAAAAAUUGAACAAUUAAGAAAAAACAUCGUAGAAGAAAAGUAACGAAAUUUAAUGAAAAAAAUGUUUAAUUAGACAAUAAAAAUAAAUAAUCGAAAAAAAAUAGUUACAUUAUUUUAUAAUUUUUUUGCCUUAGCCGUAGAUACGCGGUUACAAAGCAAGUCCAUGCUGAAGGUGGCUAGGUUCUUCUGGUUUUCUCGGCUUCCCUGGGGCAUCAAAGGCUUAGCAUGUUAACCUCAUGAUACGAAUGCAAAAAUGGUAAACUUGGCUUAUCCCUAUUCUGAUUAUCCCAUUUAUGAUAAAACAUAUCCUGAUGAAGAGUAACUUGAUGCCAAUUUCCACACAUUCAAGUUUCUUUCUCACAUUUAACACGAUAAUUAUUUACAUAAACUACGUAAUCUGAAAAGGUUAUUGAAAACAUCGCAGGUAAUAACUGUGGAAAUGCUGGAAGAACACGAAGCUGCAGAGUGGCAAUGUAAUGCCAAUAAGAAGUUUGUUUAUUAUUAAAUUCUGGUAUUCUAAGUAUUCAAAUGUAGAAUUUGGAACUCAAAAUUUUAAUUGUUGAAUUUGAAAUCUGUAGGGAA